AAAAAUAAAGCGAUAUUAUUGCAUUCAGUUUCGGCCUGAACUUAGAAAUAUUCUAUUUUUU
rnacentral:tRNA from 1 species